CCAAGUCAGAGAUUACAUUGUUUUUGUCAUAAAAAAGUGUUAACUGAAUAUCUGACUGAAAUGAUCGAAGAAGCUUUCACUAAUAUCCUUGGGGCAUAUGUUGCUUGGUAAGAUGAUCUGAUACAAUCAAUAGACUACUAUGUUCACUAAAUCAUGAAUGCAUAGCCUAGGAAAUUUGUGUGCUAUUGUUUCGAGCCUCUGGUUUGACUGGUAGUGGCCUUUAGUUUGCAUGCCUGCACCCAAGAAGCUCAUGUUCUUGAAAGUUUUCCCCUUCGAGGAGCCUGACUUGAUUUGCAUCAUUUUUGUGUUUCUGCUGCACUAGUUUCCAGUAUAUGUACGUGUGAUUGCAAUGGCUGAAGGUUCCAUCCCCUAUAGCACUUGUUAGGAUCGUCAAGCAUUAUACACUUUUGAAAGGCAGCAACUUUAUUUAUUGGACG
rnacentral:misc_RNA from 1 species